GGGCUCGUAGAUCAACGGCAGAUCGCAUGCAUGGCAUGCAUGAGGCUGCGGGUUCAAAUCCCGCCGAGUCCA
rnacentral:tRNA from 1 species